CAAUAGAUAAAUAUGCCUGUCUGUUACGGCAUUUUCCAUGGGUUUUGCUUAUAUAUACAGCAGUCUUAUAUGCACAUAUAUGCAUACAUUAUUACAUUGAUUAUCACAAGUCAAAAUAUAUGGAGAAAGUUUAGAAUGAUUGGUAAAACUUAGCAUCUCUGUUCAAAUUCUAUCUUCUUAUGCAAUUUCUUUAGAGGGAGAUUUCUUUCCAUUCAUCUUUUUUGUUUGAACAUUCUCUGUGUGUGCUAUUGCACUGUGAUGGCUGUCAAAAGAUAAUAAUAUUUUAAAAGUGGAUGGCCCAGUGUUCCUUUACUUAGAUAUCCUGACACUAGAUGUUAGAUCCUUUCAUAUCUUCUAUUCCCAAGAGUGCGAUAGCUCUUCCUUUGGUGAAAUUGUGUCUCUGGGUUACUGGGUGAUAACUCUGGUGAAUAUUCAUUCUUUUGAUGCGCUUCAAAUAGAUAAUCUGUAAUCAUAUCUCGUUUUCCUUUUCGUGUUAAUGAGUUUAUUCAAAAUGUCAGAAAUGGUAAGCACCUGCUAGUAUUAGUUGUUCCAUACCUUGUUGAAUGCAUUAUUUUCUAGUGAGUGCCUUCUUAUUUGGUUAUGGAUGGAUAGAGUUAUUUCGAGGUUUGCUAACUUAGCAAUUUCGUAUGUGUUGGAACAGAUUUCUGAAGAUAGAAUGAAAAUGAUUUCUUUUGGGAGUAGGGUUUCUAUUGCUGUUUUAUGAGCAAUUGCAAAGCUGUGUAAUUUCUGUUUGUAUCUGAUUCUUUAGGAAGCAUAUAAAAAAUCCUACUUGAAAGAAAGCAAAACUUAAUAUUUGGUAGAGGCCUAAGGGAUCUUGGGAGAAUCCAAGCUGGUGGCAUUUAUGGGAUUAUUCAGAGUGUUAAUUUGAUGCCAAUAAUGGAAAACACUGACAUGAAACGUUGCCAAGUACUAGUCUUUUAAGAGAUUAAAACAGUCUUAAUAGGGCUUUCCAGCUGAUCCUGUAGGAUUAAUUCUGAAACAUGCUUUCCUUUGAUAAGAACAUGAGAAUAUACACAGGGAAGAUGUGAUUUUGUUUUCUUCUCUGUGGAAUGGAAAUGGUUAACUGUGAGGGUGAAAAAAAAAAUUGUUUAGCUGUUCCCUGAAAUUGUGCUUUUUCUGAGCAAUGUUGCUGACAACAGUUUCUAAGAUGCUGGAUUCAUGCUGAUCUGAGAACAAAAAAGUGUUUUUGAAGACCGAGUCAACCAGGCCUGAACUUUUUGGGGCAUUAAUCCAGGCCAGCCCUUUUGUUAUUUCUUUGGCUAGAAAUGGUUGAAUUACCAUGAAAGGUGCAAAAUUUUAUCGCUUGAUUUUUGGCUAAAGAAACAGUAAGUUUUACUGUUGAACAGAGGACCCACAAUAUGAGAUACUAUUUUACAAUCGGUUUUCCAUGUGAUCAUCAUCAGUGCUCCUUUCCUCUUAGGAAUUGAGUUAAUAAUUGUGUUUGUACAUGAAUUUCAUGCCGAAUGAUUAAGGACAAGUGAAAAAAAUGAGGAAACUUUGGUAACUGUCAUAAAAAAUCCAUAAUGAUAGUUUGGAAUUUUGUUUUGUUAGUUUUCUGCUGCUUUCAUUUACUUCCUGUUAUUUUGUCCUCUCAAUCAUGAUGGAUGUUCAUUUCUAGUGUGAAGAAGCCUAUACAAAUUUUACUAUUGAACUUGUAAUAAUUUUUCUACAUUACCAUCCUGAUUGCCUACUCUUUCUUGGUCUCUCAUUCUGUGCAGGGCUUCUGAUGAUCAUGGGAAACUAGCGACAAUAUACAAGUCAGAGAAAAGAAGUGAAAUGGUGAAAGACGGAUAUCGAAUUCUAGGAAACUCUGGUGACCAAUGGAGCGAUUUACUGGGUUCUCCUACGUCAAAUCGCUCAUUCAAGCUUCCAAAUCCUAUGUAUUACAUUCCUUGAAAGUGAAAAAUUCUUUGAAUUGUUUCUCUAAGUAAUUGUGCAUUAUAUAGGGAUCUCAGUAUUGUUGAAUGUAAAGGCAUCUAAUCUACUGAAGUAUUAUUAUACUGAGAAACUUAUGAUGCCAUACAAAAUGCUUAUAGUAUAUUAUUUUGCACAAGCUUCUUACUUUGUGGAAACACCAAUUAAUUUGACUUCUGGUGUUAGAGACACCUUAUGUGUGAAAAAUAAAGUUGCUUUCCUGAUGAAUCUGGCCCUUGUAAUCACACCACUUAUUUUAUACCCUUUUUU
rnacentral:misc_RNA from 1 species